UGGGGAAUAUUGGACAAUGGGCGAAAGCCUGAUCCAGCCAUGCCGCGUGUGUGAAGAAGGUCUUCGGAUUGUAAAGCACUUUAAGUUGGGAGGAAGGGCAGUAAGCGAAUACCUUGCUGUUUUGACGUUACCGACAGAAUAAGCACCGGCUAACUCUGUGCCAGCAGCCGCGGUAAUACAGAGGGUGCAAGCGUUAAUCGGAAUUACUGGGCGUAAAGCGCGCGUAGGUGGUUCGUUAAGUUGAAUGUGAAAGCCCCGCGCUCAACCUGGGAACUGCAUCCAAAACUGGCGAGCUAGAGUAGGGCAGAGGGUGGUGGAAUUUCCUGUGUGGCGGUGAAAUGCGUAGAUAUAGGUAGGAACACCAGUGGCGAAGGCGACCACCUGGGCUCAUACUGACACUGAGGUGCGAAAGCGUGGGGAGCAAACAGG
rnacentral:rRNA from 1 species